CCGGCCCGCGCAGCGUGUGACGCCGCGGCCGCGGCGGAGCUGGGGAUUAAUGGGAAAAGUUUUGGCAGGAGGCAGAGGAGCCUGCGGAGCCUGCGGAGCCUGCGGGACGUUGGCGGCGGCUGCGGCGCAGGAGGCGGCCAGGUCAGUGCUGUGUGGUGUUUGGGGCAUACACGUGGCACUCACACAGUGGCGUCUUCUCAACCACAGAUGAAGACAGAUGCACCAAAGAGAUCUGUCCUGCAUCCUUCUCCUCCAGCGGCAGCGGCAAGAACCCUG